rnacentral:lncRNA from 1 species
GCGAGGGACCCGGGCCUCAGCGGGCAAUUCGCAGAGGCUUGGAGGGCCAAUCGAUCCCUUGGCAGUUAUGGGAUCCAUCCUGAGCGUCGUCGCUGAGGCCCAGCCUGACGGUGUCGGCUUGGCAUCCCAACACUGGAGGCAGAGCAGGAGGACCAGGAGGUCAAGGUCAGCCUCUGCUACAUAGUUUCUGGAAAAUGUGAGACCCUGCCUCAAACAGAAAGAGGAAAAGAGAAAAAGAUAAACCCGGAUGUUCUUCUGGUAUGUGUUCUAGGGGAGCCUGCUGAGGCCCUGGCUCCACCUACACACUGCAAGGAAAACAGAACAAAAGUUACUUUGUAUCAUUAAAGAUUGGGGCCAGUGACAGUGCUCAGAAGAAAAAGGUGCUUUCUGCCAAGCCCGACAGCCUGUGUUGGCUCCCUGAGACCCACGUGGUGGACGGAGAGAACCAGCUCCAGCUAACUGUCCUCUGAUUUCCACACACAGAGAAACUGAUAAAGAAAAUGUCACUUACAUUUUGUCUUAAUUUUUAGAUUUAUUUGUAUUUUCUGUGUAUGGAUGCUUUGCCUGCAUGCCUGAUGACCUCAGACAUCCCAAGAGGGCAUCGGGUCCCCUGGAGUGACAAACAGUUAAGAGC